rnacentral:rRNA from 1 species
UGGGGAAUUUUGGACAAUGGGCGAAAGCCUGAUCCAGCAAUGCCGCGUGUGUGAAGAAGGCCUUCGGGUUGUAAAGCACUUUUGUCCGGAAAGAAAUCCUUGGCUCUAAUACAGUCGGGGGAUGACGGUACCGGAAGAAUAAGCACCGGCUAACUACGUGCCAGCAGCCGCGGUAAUACGUAGGGUGCAAGCGUUAAUCGGAAUUACUGGGCGUAAAGCGUGCGCAGGCGGUUUGCUAAGACCGAUGUGAAAUCCCCGGGCUCAACCUGGGAACUGCAUUGGUGACUGGCAGGCUAGANUAUGGCAGAGGGGGGUAGAAUUCCACGUGUAGCAGUGAAAUGCGUAGAGAUGUGGAGGAAUACGAUGGCGAAGGCAGCCCCCUGGACCAAUACUGACGCUCAUGCACGAAAGCGUGGGGA